UACGGAGGGCGCAAGCGUUGUUCGGAAUUACUGGGCGUAAAGCGCGUGUAGGCGGUCUGGCAAGUCGGUUGUGAAAUCCCCGGGCUCAACCCGGGAACUGCAUCCGAAACUGCCGGGCUAGAGUUUCGGAGAGGAAGGCAGAAUUCCCAAUGUAGGGGUGAAAUCCGUAGAUAUUGGGAGGAAUACCAGUGGCGAAGGCGGCCUUCUGGACGAUGACUGACGCUGAGACGCGAAAGCGUGGGGAGCAAACAGG
rnacentral:rRNA from 1 species